rnacentral:rRNA from 1 species
AUUGAACGCUGGCGGCAUGCCUUACACAUGCAAGUCGAACGGUAACAGGUCUUCGGAUGCUGACGAGUGGCGAACGGGUGGGUAAUACAUCGGAACGUGCCUAGUAGCGGGAGAUAACUACUCGAAAGAGUGGCUAAUACCGCAUGAGAUCUACGGAUGAAAGCAGGGGAUCGCAAGACCUUGUGCUACUAGAGCGGCCGAUGGCAGAUUAGGUAGUUGGUGGGAUAAAAGCUUACCAAGCCGACGAUCUGUAGCUGGUCUGAGAGGACGAUCAGCCACACGAGGACGGAGACACGGCCCAGACUCCUACGGGAGGCAGCAGUGGGGAAUUUUGGACAAUGGGCGCAAGCCUGAUCCAGCAAUGCCGCGUGCAGGAUGAAGGCCUUCGGGUUGUAACCUGCUUUUGUACGGAACGAAAAGCCCCGGGUUAAUACCCUGGGGUCAUGACGGUACCGUAAGAAUAAGCACCGGCUAACUACGUGCCAGCAGCCGCCGUAA